CAGUAUAGGUUAUAUGGUGCCAAACAGGACUACAAAUUUUUGUUCUACAUCUCAUUUACAUCGAAAUAUAAACCAGCAACUUAGGAGAAGAUGUUGUUUGAAAAUGUUUCUGUUUUGAGCUCUGGCAGACCCUAUAUGCAACCAAGCAGAAAACCUCCCGGCCAACUUUCAUCAACUUAACCACACAGUUCCAGAGAUGUUGUUUGAAGUAACAUGUGGACAGAUGCUGGAUGGUGUUUGAUAUAAAACACAAACAAGGAGUUGCAAUCUGAUUGGAAACAUCAUCUCUUUGAUCACCUCAACAGGUCUCUAAGUAGACAUAAGAAGUGUUGUUGACUGUAACUGACCCUCGGUCACCCAGAGAUGACCCCAGCUGACCAGUGGCCUGCUGCACCAAGACAGAAAUAUAAUCCCCUCAUCACUUCACCUGUCUGUGUAUGGACCUUCUUUAUUAAAAGUGUUGUCAGGUUAAUCUGUCAUGGUUCAAGUCUGAAGACAAAAUAAUGCAGGCACUUAUGAAAUCAUGCACUCACACACAAAUGGAAGGAGGAACAGCCAGAUGGAGAACUUAUGAAAUCAUGCACUCACACACAAAUGGAAGGAGGAACAGCCAGAUGGAGAACUUAUGAAAUCAUGCACUCACACACAAAUGGAAGGAGGAACAGCCAGAUGGAGAAUGCCACCUCUAUACCCCUCCUCCUCUGGAGGGGGAUAAUAAAAAUUUUAUCUUUGAACAUUAUGUGCUAAAAGAAAUAUUGCUACAUUACAGUCAUGGAAUCAGAGCUGCACAAAACACAAGGGAUGUUGCAUUCUCAAGUGGAGUUUGCAAGACCGGGAACCCUAACAAGAGGCAAUGUCAAGCUUCUAUACAAUGGCCCUUAUAUUAUAGCACAAAGCAAAUUCUAUGGUUUGUUUUUUUUACCAAAAAAAAAAAAAGAAUAAAUUUCUCUAAUCAGAGAUAUAAAACUGUCAUAAAUACAGAUGAAAGAAGUCUACAUACUGGCAAAACACCAAAUCAGUUUUCCAACCUGGUUAUUUCUAUCACUUCAUAUCUAUUUGUGAUUUGUUUGUUUGUAAGUUUUUGGUUGAACACCAUUCAGUUAUGUAACAGCGUGCAGUUAACCUAACCAGUGUUCCUGGAUUCUGUACCAAUACAAACCUGUUUUCCGCAAGUAACUGCCAACUUCCACAAAUGAAUCAGAGUUGGAGGAUAAAUGAUUUCAGACAUGUCUUUUAUCAAAUGGUCACGAAGAACAUACACCCGCUCAGAGAUUGAACUCAUGAAGUCAUACUUCAUAGAUCUGCACUUUACCUAUCAAGCUAAGCAGGCACUGUUUGUCAUAUACAAGACAUGAUUGUACAGA
rnacentral:lncRNA from 1 species